rnacentral:rRNA from 1 species
UGCGCAGGCGGUUUAUUAAGUCAGAUGUGAAAUCCCCGGGCUUAACCUGGGAAUGGCAUUUGAGACUGGUAGGCUAGAGUGUGUCAGAGGGGGGUAGAAUUCCACGUGUAGCAGUGAAAUGCGUAGAGAUGUGGAGGAAUACCGAUGGCGAAGGCAGCCCCCUGGGGUAACACUGACGCUCAUGCACGAAAGCGUGGGGAGCAAACAGGAUUAGAUACCCUGGUAGUCCACGCCCUAAACGAUGUCGACUAGUUGUCGGGUCUUAAUUGACUUGGUAACGCAGCUAACGCGUGAAGUCGACCGCCUGGGGAGUACGGUCGCAAGAUUAAA